GUGCUUGCAUCGUCAGCACAUACACUAAAAUUGGAAUGAUACAGAGAAGAUUAGCAUGGCUCCAAGGCAAGGACAACAUGCAAAUUUGUAAAGUGUUCCUUAUUAAA